rnacentral:rRNA from 1 species
UACGGAGGAUCCAAGCGUUAUCCGGAAUCAUUGGGUUUAAAGGGUGCGUAGGCGGGCAGGUAAGUCAGUGGUGAAAUCUCCGAGCUUAACUCGGAAACUGCCGUUGAUACUAUCUGUCUUGAAUAUUGUGGAGGUAAGCGGAAUAUGUCAUGUAGCGGUGAAAUGCUUAGAUAUGACAUAGAACACCUAUUGCGAAGGCAGCUUCUACGCAAUCAUUGACGCUGAGGCACGAAAGCGUGAGGAUCAAACAGG